GUGAACGCUGGCGGUAGGCCUAACACAUGCAAGUCGAACGGCAGCACAGUAAGAGCUUGCUCUUACGGGUGGCGAGUGGCGGACGGGUGAGGAAUACAUCGGAAUCUACUUUUUCGUGGGGGAUAACGUAGGGAAACUUACGCUAAUACCGCAUACGACCUACGGGUGAAAGCAGGGGAUCUUCGGACCUUGCGCGAUUGAAUGAGCCGAUGUCGGAUUAGCUAGUUGGCGGGGUAAAGGCCCACCAAGGUGACGAUCCGUAGCUGGUCUGAGAGGAUGAUCAGCCACACUGGAACUGAGACACGGUCCAGACUCCUACGGGAGGCAGCAGUGGGGAAUAUUGGACAAUGGGCGCAAGCCUGAUCCAGCCAUACCGCGUGGGUGAAGAAGGCCUUCGGGUUGUAAAGCCCUUUUGUUGGGAAAGAAAAGCAGCAGGUUAAUACCCCGCUGUUCUGACGGUACCCAAAGAAUAAGCACCGGCUAACUUCGUG
rnacentral:rRNA from 1 species